GUAAAUAAUAAUUAUCGCAAAUCUUCGAUUUGCGGAAUUGGGCUUUUAUUUCGAAUAGAUUUAUGGCCUUACAUUACGUUAUUGGCUUAUUACACGAAAUCAUCCGAUCCAAAGGUGCAAUUAAACAUUCUCUCGUGUGCGGAUUUUCGCAAACUGUUACGAUUUUUGGUUGCCGAAGCACUUUCACGAGCGCGAAGCCAAAAUCGGAAGUUUUUUUAA
rnacentral:misc_RNA from 1 species